rnacentral:rRNA from 1 species
ACGCUCGACACCUACGGGAGGAGCAGUGGGGAAUAUUGCACAAUGGGGGAAACCCUGAUGCAGCAACGCCGCGUGAAGGAAGACGGUUUUCGGAUUGUAAACUUCUGUUCUUAGUGAAGAUAGUGACGGUANCUAAGGAGCAAGCCACGGCUAACUACGUGCAGCAGCCGCGGUAAUCUGAGCGGGCUGGCAAGGC